UACGGAGGGGGCUAGCGUUGUGCGGAAUUACUGGGCGUAAAGCGCACGUAGGCGGCUUUGUAAGUUAGAGGUGAAAGCCCGGGGCUCAACUCCGGAAUUGCCUUUAAGACUGCAUCGCUAGAAUUGUGGAGAGGUAAGUGGAAUUCCGAGUGUAGAGGUGAAAUUCGUAGAUAUUCGGAAGAACACCAGUGGCGAAGGCGACUUACUGGACACAUAUUGACGCUGAGGUGCGAAAGCGUGGGGAGCAAACAGG
rnacentral:rRNA from 1 species